GACGAACGCUGGCGGCGUGCUUAACACAUGCAAGUCGAGCGGUAAGGCCCUUUCGGGGGUACACGAGCGGCGAACGGGUGAGUAACACGUGGGUGACCUGCCCUUAGCUCUGGGAUAAGCCUGGGAAACUGGGUCUAAUACCGGAUAUGACUCCAUGACGCAUGUUGUGGGGUGGAAAGCCUUGUGCGGCUAGGGAUGGGCCCGCGGCCUAUCAGCUUGUUGGUGGGGUGAUGGCCUACCAAGGCGACGACGGGUAGCCGGCCUGAGAGGGCGACCGGCCACACUGGGGACUGAGACACGGCCCAGACUCCUACGGGAGGCAGCAGUGGGGAAGUCUUGCGCAAUGGGCGAAAGCCUGACGCAGCGACGCCGCGUGGGGAUGACGGCCU
rnacentral:rRNA from 1 species